UUGAAAUGCAGGGAUCUGUUUUUCUCGAAGAUGCGACACGACGCAACGCGAUGCAACGCAACGGAAGCGGUGGUCCCUACCUAUUAAUAUCGAGAGUAUAUUUCAAUUAAUUCGAAUAAAUCGGUAAGCGACACGGCGCGAGUGUGCGUGCGCGUGCGUCGAAAGGAGGCAGAAAGAAAAAAAAGAUGACCGCCGUGGCGCUUGCGCGAGGGGCGUCGCGACGACCGCCGACGCCUUCUUGAAUGAAACCGUCGCAGUCAGUUCGCAUCAAGGCGUCCACCUUCACUUCCACUUUCACGGAUUUUCUAAUUGUCCAGUCGACCAACGGCAAGUGACGUUCCACGGUGAUAAGUCGUUCGAUCACGUUUCAUCUUGGCCAUCGAAUCAGGUCGACGGUUAUGCGAGCAUUGUCGAUUUGGACAGUGGCUUGUCGUUCUCGUGGAUAUCUCGGGGACAGAUUCUACUUGUUGUCCAUGCAGAGAAGGACGGGCAAGAUCCACGUCUGACAGAGACCGAUGCUUGCCAAGAGACCGAUUAUUUUCAACCCCUUUUCGCUAUUGUCUACGCGCGUCUAACGUCUCACAGUCUGAGUCCAUAAAGCAGAUCGUAAAGAUGUCGAAUGCGGUAUGCGGACAUUUAUGAGCCUCAUGAGAAGAAAAUUUCAUUGCAAGAGCAGCGUUUCGGAAGUUGAAGGACCGAAAGAAACGAAACUCGCCCAGUUCUCAUCAUUCAGCGUUUAACUCUGACCUGCACAAUGAAUCUCGUUGAUUCUUAUUAAUUUAUUAUUUUGCCAUUUUACAAGAUUAUGAAUAGAGAUGGAAUCGAGCAUCAUAUAUACAGCAAGGAUCUUGGAUUGCGACCAACUGCUGCGACCACCAUGUUCGCCUCAUCAGGUUCAAUUAUUAUCAAGUAGCGUUAUCCGAUUCCUUGAACGCGAAUAAAAGAAGACUCGCGAAAGAAUUCGACCAAAGGUCGAGAUAAUUUUUUAUUUUUGCCAGCUUCCACGUAACGAUCGAGUAAUUUUGUGGGCGUUUCCUCGAAUAAAACAAUGUGAUCGGUGAUGAUCGUCUAACUUUAUUUAGACCCUUGCGCUUUUACCAUCCUUUUUCUUCUUCUGAAAUGAUAUAGACGAAAAUCAUAGAGAAGAAAUAUGAUAGAUACAGUCUAGUGAAUUUUUUAGAUUAAUGUUACUUUACGAUCAAAAAUGAAUAUCUUUGAAAUUGUGAACAAUGUGAAAAUAUAUAUUUUAUUCCAAGAUCGAAUAAAAAGACAAUUUAGCAACAUUAGCAUCGAUCGUAAAUUUGAAAAUUGUCAACUAUAAAAAUUGGAAAAAUGUGUAAUGGAAGAUAACUUACAUCUUUGGAUCAAAUAAGUUGUCCCUAUUUUUACCUGUAUUAUGUCGAAGUACACGUACUUAAACAUCAAAAUUAGAAAAUCAACGAAAUUCUACUUAUCGUAUUUCUCUUCUGUAAUCUUAAUGUUUUCUUCGAUUCGACAGGGAUCCGAAAAACAAGAAACUUUCUUUCGCUUUCGAUACGUAACAAAUAUAUUUUCUCUCAACAUCGAAACAAAUUGAAGAACAUCGAUGUUGCUUCAUUUUUAACUCUCGAUUCGAGGCGAAAGUUUAAUUUGUUCGUUCGCCAAUUCCCAUUUUUCACUAGGCUCGCGUUUAAACGCGUUACAAACACGAAACCCUUGCUUUCUACCGUCUAAGCAGCCCGAACCUGCGCUUUGUUUCCAGACAAAUGAAUCGUUUGUUUGAGUAAUUCCUUCGGGCUAUUUCGCAAAGCGUUAAGCACAGAUUCUUGUUCCGCAAAAAUAGGCUUGCCGCAACAUGUUCCACCGCGCGUGGACAACGCUGGAAACAUUGUGUAGAUCGGAUAUCCUUCCUUUUCAAUGUGUUUCGUAUCUCAAACUUCCCCUCCUUACAUGAUCCCUUUCUUAAUUUUCAAACAUUUUACUUCUUAUUACUUUCCGUCCAAAUCUCAAUCUUAACUUUCUAUUUUGUGUUUUAGCUUGUUUUUAUUUCAAAAUAAUACUGACGUACAUAUUUACAUAUAUGUUGAGUAUUUCCCUAAUUUAAAUGAGCUUCCAAAUCGUCAGAAUGAAUACAAUUGCGAAUGGACAUUCUUAAACGUAUAGAAUCCUUUCAUGUGUGGGAAAAAUAAGAAAUAAUAAUAGCCUUGAGAGAUGUAUUCCUCAGAUUUAAUACAGCCGACAUUUUCGAGAUGAUAGUUCAAAGGAAUUUACGCGAAAGGAAAUAACGAAGACUUUGUUCGAUAUUCGCAACACGUUUUCCUAUUAAAUCUUGUUGAAUUUGUGAAAAUUUGUUAAAUCGCAUCCUAAAUUUCUUCGAAACGAAACCAACGCGUUAGAAAGACAACGUGCAAUUACUUUCUCUAUCAUUUUGCCUAUAACAUACGAUGUUCAUUCGUGUAACAACCUAAGGAAUGUGUUAAGCAGAAAUCGGAAUGUACCGCGAUCUGAUCGUGUCGGAAACUGAAGCAUCGGAAAAAUGGCGAAAAGGAGCAAAGUAAAGAGGAUAAGUUACGAGAUUUAUGAGAUAAAAGGCGAAUCCGCUAAGGAACGACAAAAACGAUGUAACCCCCAUUGCAAUUGAUGUUCGUGUUAAAAGCAAUUCCUCGAUGUGACUAACAAGCACCGUACGUAUUCUGCUUAUUUCAUUUGUGGCGAAUAUAAAUGCGCAUAGAGACGGCUGAGAAAAGUGUACUUUUUUUUGUUUUUCUUUUUAAGCAAAAUUUUCUAUCACGUGCGACUAAACGCGAGUUUGAAAAGUCAUUACUUCGAUAUGAUAUGACAAUUAAUAUUAUUCGAAAUAUUUACUACUUUAGUGAUUAGUAUGACAUAAUUGUUAUUUUAGGAGAAAAUCGGUUUCGUAAGAUAAUUUCUUUUAAUUAGAAUUUUAAUUGAAUUACAAUAAGAAAACUUUUUUUUUAAUUUACAAUUAUAAUACUUUCUUAUUUACUUUUUAACUGUUCUAACAGUUAAUAAGCUAAUAGAUGAAGGGAUACAUCUGUUCAUUAGCGUCGGAUUUAUGAACGAUUUCGUGUCAGUGCUAGACGCGGCAAAGUGGCCGUAGUUUACAACAUAUUCCUGCGGAUUGCGAAUUUUAAGAGGUAUUUUUGUGCAAAACACGUGGCGCCUGGACGAGAUACGUUAUCCGUAUAAACGUUUAUAUUCGCAGUGUGCAACAACUGCUAAUCUCGGUUCGGAAAAUAUACAACGAGCGUGGAGUAUUUUUCGAACUUUUAACGUUGAAAAGAAACUCGUACCAUCAGACCAUACACGUGCGUUUCAACUUCAUCCGAUAAACUACAAUUAAAGAAAAUUCCCUAUUCAGACAGAAGAAAAUAUUAAGACGAAAGUUGAACGCAAAAGAAGGAGGAAGAAAAAGCGACGUAUAAAAUAAUCUGUGAAAGAGGUAAAAAUACUUGUUCAAAAAGAAACAUACAACAAGAUACAGCCUAAUAUUCAAUACACAGGAAACUAGGAGACAAAUGUUUAUGGCUGUAAAUAAUCUAGGAAAGAUUAAUACAUUCUUCGUUUUUAAAAAAUAAAAAACAUACUAAAACGGGAAUAUAAUGUAUCAAUCCAAACCAGAUGUCAACACGAGUUUCACGACUUUCACAAGAAUAUAUAAACGAAAUGCUUUUAGAGGAGUUCCAGCAAAUUAUGCGGAAGCAGUCUGGAGAAUGUGUCGAAAGUGCGUGUCGUUUCACCGAGAAAUCCUUGCGACCAGCUAUUUCCGUCCUGGUCGCGGCGGCGUCUCCCCGUGUUCCAACACCCCCACUGAAGUCACGCAACACGUUCCAGCAUAAGGGCUCUCAUAAAUAUCAUCCGAUGCCUUUGGCCGCGGUUGUCGCCAUCGCGUGGUGGCCAGUCUCUUUCGUUUUCUAGGUGGGAACGCACUCGCGCGAUGAAAACGCGCCAUUAAGCUGAUUGGAUUAUUAGAAGGUGAAGAAAUGGAUUAAUCAUUGGCAUGUAUCACAUAACAUUCACGGUUCGACCAAUGAAAAUUAUCAGAGAAUUGUUAAAAGUGGAAUUUGGCUCGAUAUUCUGGCAUUAUCGACUAACCUUUUCUUUAAGCAUUUUGACAUAUAGGUGUCUUCUUACAAUGUUGUUGGUUUAGAAGAGAGAUUAUGACAGUCACUUGACAUAUUUAAUGUUACUAAAAUAUGACUGCUCUCCUUGCAGCAGCUUCUCUCACCAGAAAUAUCUUUAGUUUCCUAAUAACUGUAAAUAUAUAUAAAUUUGUGAAAAAUCUGCAAAUAUAUGAAAUGUGCGUAACAUAUAAAAUACACAAGAUAAUGAGAGUAAUUAUAUAUGAAAAAAAAUAUUUCCAAUUUUAAGAGAAUGUAUAAAAUAAAUCUAGAGAAGAUGAAAAUAUUUGUUAGAAAAGAAGGUUCGACAAAUGGAUACCACGAAAGCCACACACUAGUUAUAAUCUAAUAUAAUCGCUUAACAAACCUAGAAAUUACCUGAACUCACUUUAUCGACCACCAUUAGCCCCAUCUCGUCUACUCGAUCGGUAAUAUUAGAUACUUGCGUACAAUGUAAUCCCACAAAUAAUGCAAUCGUUGGUUUUCGUGUACCAGAUGAAGAUAAGAAAAUUAUCUAUUGGCAAUUGAUCAAUGUUGAACUUACCCUUGUUUUAUCCUAAUUUUGUAUCUAUUUCCAUAAAGUUUUCUAUUCCAAUUUUACGAAAUUCCAAUAUAGUACGAAUACAACACGAUAGGUGGAACAAUGAUGCAUGAAAUGAACAGGAUUUUGGAAAACAAAGUAAAUUGGUGUUUUGAUCUUAAUUUAUGUUCUAGAUUCUAGAUGAUCACAAAUUUCAUAAUUGUAUAUUGAUACUGCUAUCUAUAUGAGGAAUUAAGCGUUGAGUAUUUUACGUAUCUGGGCCAGAAGAGAAUACGUAAUAAGGAAAAACGACUCGUUUUAGAAUUUCUACAUUUGUCUUUCGAUGUGGUAAUCGAUAGACUUAUAGAUAUUAAUACGAUGUAUGUAAACGGAUCUUGAGGCAUCUCGUAUCUCUUACGAUACGAUUCUCGUAUCUUUUUAGAUACGCGGAAACAAAUUCCUUUCUUAAUUUCACUUUGAAAAUAGAAGUAGUCGACACAGAUUAAACACAUCGAGAAGAAAAUCUAUAUAUCGUGUAGAUAACAAACCAUCCUACAAACUCAGAAACAAAAUACUACAUAAAUUAGGAUUUCUUAAACACAACCUAUCUUAUGUUUUUCUAUGGAAUAUAUAGCCUGGGAUACAUAUAUAUAGAAGAUGGUAGAAUACAAUGUAAAUAUAAAUAUUUUUUUCCACUAUCUUCUAAAUAUAAAGCAAGUUUAAUUUUAAGAAUCCACAACUCUUACAUAAACAUAAGAACAAACGAUUUAAAAAUCUAUUGCUCUACAGAUACUCCACAAAAUUCUCUCUUAUAGGCGUAGAUAUAUUUCAAAACAUUCUCAAUCUUCUAAGAAAAUUCUUUUUUAUCCUUCAGCUACUUACAUCGUUUUUACCAUUCCACUUACUAUUGCCCAAUUAUCAAAAACGAAACUAUACGAUAGUUGGUAAAAUACCUUCGGCGAAUUUUUGGUCGAACGACAUAUGGGGAAUCAAGUUCCGCUACGUUCGAUCACUUUAUAAAUACUCGACGGAAACAGAUGUCGACGACAAGUGGAAACGACACUGGCCGCGUACAAUGUAUCAAGCCGGUGUCAAACUGACGUUCGUGCGCUCGCUCGCGCUUUGAAACCAACGCGCGCCAUUUCGUUGUGAUAGCGAGGCAUCGAGCUGGAUCUGUCAGUAAUUGCCUCGAGUCGUGAACCGUUAUUGUCAGGCAAACGUUCCAGCGAUCGUAAAGAUCAUUCGGUAGGCGAUCUUGAAAUAUAAAUUUACCGACGUGGAGAACGCGUUCACCGCGUGCCACAGUGCCACGCCACGGUCUUUUCUAACCCGUGUGCAAAUCCGCAGGAAGUGAACGCGGUCGCGAGACGUGGGUGUAGUGUACCGUGUAUAUGUACGUGUGGCCACCGUUUGGCAUCGUACCAACCCGCGUUUCUGGUCUCUUAAGCAAGAAAACGAGACGAUACGGAGAACAGGAUACGCCUUUGAACGAUCUUACCAAGCUUUUUAAUUGGUAAAAUUAAUAUUUUUUUUUUUUUUUUUGUUUUUUGGAAAUAGGCAACUUGGAAGAAUGAACAAAGGUGAUUGAAAUGGAUAAAAGGAAGUCUGUGUUUGGGAAAAUGUGAUUUGUGUGAUUGUGUAUUUGUAUGCGCCUAUUUGACAAAGAUAAUAUUUCUAUCUUUUUAUUUCGAAGAUUCUUGGGAUUCCAAGGAUUUCUAUAUCUUAUUUUCUUAAUUUUAGCAUUACGAAAGAGGAUUACUUAAUCUGAAGAAGAAAAAUGGCGCUCCAGUUUCUAAGGACAGACGAACAAACUGAACGAACAGAGAUAUAUGAGAAUAUGGUUGAAUGGAUUCAACGAUAGCUUCUGUUGUUUCAACCUGACGAAUCCCGUGGCUCUUGAGUGCUUUUCGGCACGAGGAAUUCGUAAAUAUUUCGCUCAUAUGCUAAAAUAAAGCGCCUCGUAGAGUGUGUCAGGUCUUGUAAGCCUCGUUCGCUUAUUCAUCGGUUGUUAUAUUGAAAAUCGAGAUCUCCGAUAAAAUAACUUUCACCGGUUGAUAUAUUUAUCAUUUUCUUAUACAUGCUAAAACUGCUGGGCUAAACAAAGUGACUAAUUCAUAAUAUUUCAUCGAAAGUUUAUAAAUUGGCAGUGGUGAAUUUCUGGAAAUUUGAAUAAUAUUUUUAGUAAAAUAUAUCAAUAAUAACUUAUCUUUCACUUUACAAAAUUUACAUGAUAUUCAAAUGAUUCUAAUAUUAAAAUACACUAAAUAUCUUAACAGAUUCGUUACUAUAUGUUCAUGACGUAAUUUAUUGACAUACAUAAGGUGAAAAUGUUUACACUUGUAUCACAUAAUAAUGUUAUACUUUAAUUUCACGGUUCUCUAACGUAUGUUUCAUGUUUUAAUCGAGCCUCAUAGUCAAACAAGAUAAUCAUAUGCAUCGCUCAUACGUAAGAAACAGCUAUGUAUACGAUUCAAUAAAAUUCUUACAAAAG